rnacentral:rRNA from 1 species
ACGCACGCUGGCGGCGUGCUUCACCCAUGCAAGUCGCACGGAAAGGCCCUGCUUUUGUGGGGUGCUCGAGUGGCGAACGGGUGAGUAACACGUGAGUAGCCUGCCCUUGACUUUGGGAUAACUUCAGGAAACUGGGGCUAAUACCGGAUAGGAGCUCCUGCUGCAUGGUGGGGGUUGGAAAGUUUCGGCGGUUGGGGAUGGACUCGCGGCUUAUCAGCUUGUUGGUGGGGUAGUGGCUUACCAAGGCUUUGACGGGUAGCCGGCCUGAGAGGGUGACCGGCCACAUUGGGACUGAGAUACGGCCCAGACUCCUACGGGAGGCAGCAGUGGGGAAUAUUGCACAAUGGGCGGAAGCCUGAUGCAGCAACGCCGCGUGCGGGAUGACGGCCUUCGGGUUGUAAACCGCUUUCGCCUGUGACGAAGCGUGAGUGACGGUAAUGGGUAAAGAAGCACCGGCUAACUACGUG